rnacentral:rRNA from 1 species
ACUCCUACGGGAGGCAGCAGUAGGGAAUCUUCGGCAAUGGGGGCAACCCUGACCGAGCAACGCCGCGUGAGUGAAGAAGGUUUUCGGAUCGUAAAACUCUGUUGUUAGAGAAGAACGUUAAGUAGAGUGGAAAAUUACUUAAGUGACGGUAUCUAAACCAGAAAGGGACGGCUAACUACGUGCCAGCAGCCGCGGUAAUACGUAGGUCCCAAGCGUUGUCCGGAUUUAUUGGGCGUAAAAGCGAGCGCAGGUGGUUUCUUAAGUCUGAUGUAAAAGGCAGUGGCUCAACCAUUGUGUGCAUUGGAAACUGGGAGACUUGAGUGACAGGAGAGGAGAGUGGAAUUCCAAUGUGUAGCGGUGAAAUGCGUAGAUAUAUGGAGGAACACCGGAGGCGAAAAGCGGCUACUCUGGCCUAGUAAACUGACACUGAGGCUCGAAAGCGUGGGGAGCAAACAGGAUUAGAUACCCUGGUAGGCUCUGC